UUUAAAGUUAUGAUUUAUUGAUAAAAUAUAAAAAAAUAUGUUUUAUUGAUAAAAUAUAACAAGUGAAUAUACUCGUAUUAUACAAAACUUUUACAUCUCUUAUAUCACAAAGGUUUAAAGUCUAUGACUGUAUUGUUAUUUUUACCUAUCAACUUAAACUUAAUAUAAUCAAUUAAUAUUAUUAUUAUUAUUUUAUGAUAUGGUUCCAUUUGGCAUGUCGGUAACGUCUUGAGCGCAAACACGGUUUUUAAGUGUUUACAGAUAUGUACUAUAAUAACAUAAAUGCUGUUAUAAAAAAAGGUGCACAUGAAAGAAGUGAAACUUCUUUUGCGGUGUGUAGCAUUGUAGUUUUCUUCAUUUUUCAAACUUAAUCAAAUUUAUCUUGUAAUAGGGAAGGCUUUGUAUAAGAGAAACGACCUAGCUCGCUUUGUCCUUUCCCUCUCUCCACAGUCUAAUGGUUUGCGAGACGCUGUCUACUUUCUCUUCUUUCUAGUCUUAAUCUUUUUUCUAGCCGUAACGAAUCUGUCUCGAGGUAUAUUUUAAUGAAGUUUCACUUCAGAAAAAUAAAUAACAUUAGUUUGAAAAGAAGUUGUUGCCGGUAUUCGAUGACUAUCGAGCGAGUCCUUAGGUUUUACUUAAUAAUAUUUUUGUGAUAAUUUAAAAUACCGCUCUGUAAAUAUUUCAGAAACUAAACUGAUAACACCGAUGGCCUUGCAAUGUAAUAGUUUAUAUGACAUUCAAUAGGUGUUGCUAAACUAAAUAUAAAGAUAGUUCACAUGUUACUGCCAUCUACAGGAGCAGUGAGAAACUAAUAACAAGCCAUCUAGUGGCCGACGCCCGUAAGCAGUGGUUCGUGAAAUGCUGUCUACCUAUUUUCUCUUCCUAAAUUGUAUCUUUUCUCUCUAGCCGUAACGAAUCUGUCGCGAGUUAAAUUUCACUCUCAACACGUCUAAAGAAUUUUCACUUCAAAAACAAAAAUAUUUAUUUUACAAUUUAAGUAAUUAAUAUAUACACUUCGAUAACCUCUACACUUAAUUGAGUAACAGAUAACAGCAUAUUUGGGAACUACACAGAAUGGCAACGUUUAAGCAUUUGUAGUUAUAAAUUCAAAAAAAAUAUCUCUUGUUUUAACUAUUGAGUAUACAACAUGUAACAUAAUUAACGCACACCCUAAAAGUAAUUUGUUCAGAAUCGGAAUCUGGAUCGAUUUUGAUUGUUUUCAUGUACCAAUUUUUUUUUUAAAUUUAGUUAAAACUAAGUAAAUUACAGUCACCCUACACAGCUAGCUAAACAGUUCAUAGAAACGAAAAUGGAACGUAAGUCAGGGUAUUAAGACUUUUUAAAAUGAAAUAUCUAAUUAGUAAAAAAAUAUAUUAUUUAAUUAAAUAAAUCUGAUACUUAUUUCAAGGCUAAUAGUCUAUUACAAAAUAAAAUACCUACGCACACAAUACCAACAGCGACCGCCGGCACACAGCAACACUACAAUACAUAAAAGAAAACCACGUAAUACAAAAAUAAUUACUAUCCCUUUCUUUCGUCGGCUUAAUAUUCAUAAAAUAAACGGCAGGCUAAUCCCGAUGCGACGCGGUUGCGUCGGCGGUGAUCAAAGAAAAAUCUAAACAACGAAGUCAACAAAAUAUUUUUGACAAGUCAGUCAUGCCGCGUCCACCUUAUCGAUAAGAGGUCAAGUGAUAGUGCAAAUAAAAUAUCUCCCGUAUUUCGCUGUCUUUUCGGUCAGUGACCUCCUAGAUCAGCUGAUUUGACGCCUCUCGACUUUUUUUUGUGGGGGCGAAUUAAAUCGCUAGUUUAUAACACACAGACAAUAAGUGCCGAAGAACUAAAGAAUAAGAUAAUAACCGCCUUUGAUAAAGUGAAAAGUGACAUUGCAGUAUUAUCUAAAAUAAAACAACAAAUACGAAAACGGUCAUUAAAGUGCAUUGAACGAGCGGCGCGGCGAGUAGGUGUCUGUGUGUGCGUGCGCAGCGGAGUGUGAAUCGGUGACCAUUUUAUUUCCACGAAAUUGGAAUAACUAAUUUCACAAAUAAUCAAUGUUAACGCACAUAUAAAUAAUAUUUGGUGUAUGCAUAGCGUUUAUACUAUUAAAGUCUAAUUGGGGUGUUUGAGGGUGUGCGUUAAAUAUGUUACAUGUUGUAUUUAAUGAUUUGUUUUGUUGGUUUGCUUAAAUCACACUCAUCGUAGUUUUCAAUAACUUUUAACUCAUUUUUAAACAUGUGCAUACAAGAUUUCAUACGACUCUUGAUUUAUCAUUUUUUCCAAAGUUUCACAAACUUCGUCAAUUGAAGGUCUAUUAUCUCUAUUAUCUGACAGACAUCUCUUAGCUAAUUCAUAAAUGCCCUGUGCCCUGGUCCACCUUUCAACAACCAUAUCUAAAAGCUGUGUGAUGUCUUUAUUCUCGUUCAUUACUUGUUCAACAUAAUCUUUUAUAUUUAAAUUUCCAUUGCUAUCCACAACAAUUGGCUUCAAGCCUGUAAGCAAUUCAAGUAGAACUAUACCAAAGCUGUAAACAUCCGUUUUUUUUGUUAAAGUCCCUUUUAUUGCUUCCGGAGGCAUGUAGGCUGAUGUCCCCAUCAUCAUACUAGUUACACGUGUAGAUUCUAGUUGCUUCGCCAGGCCAAAGUCACAAAGCUGAAAAAAUCAACAGAAGAUUUGUUUCAAUACACCCAGCAAUCAUUAACAAAAAAAAUUAACAAUAAGUAAAAAAAAAUUACCAUCGGUUUGCAAUCUUUAGUCAAUAAAAUAUUAGCACUUUUCACAUCACCGUGUAUGUAAAAAGUUGUGAUAGGGCUGACAUCUCCAUUUACUUCAAUCGGCUUUACAGUGUUAUGCACAUACUUUAGUCCCUCUGCUGUCCCCGAAAUUAUCUCGAGUCUCUGGUUUUCGUUCAGUACUUUUGCAGCAAUUUUUUCCAUUAGAGAACCACCAUCUAUGUACUUGCAAACUAUACAUGGCGUCGGUCCAUCAAUAGAAUAUCCAAAAAUAGGUACUAUGUUUUUAUGUCUUAAUUGCGAUAAAGAUUUGACUUCAGCGUUAAAUAACCUUAUAGCCACAUCAUGCUUGUAAUUAAACUGAAGGUAACACUUUACUUUCUUAACAGCCAACUGUCCAUAUCUAUUGUGAGUACCAACAAAUACUUCACCAAAACCACCUCCUCCUAUCUUCCCAGAUAGUCCUGUCCGACCUUCAUUAAGGUCUUCAGAAAAAUUAUUAGUAAUCGCAGCUAAUUGAUUAUAAUCGAAUGAUAUCAAAUUUUCGUCUUCUAAUAUUUUUGAAUCUAUAACACUGCGCAUGCUAUCGUCAGAUAAAAUUGAUAUGUUGUUGCUAGAUAGUGAUCGUCUUGUUUCCUUUAGUUCAGUAGAUUGUGUCGUACCGUACGACUGUGAGGAAUUAACUGAUGUGCCCAUCAAAGCAGAAAUAUUUGGCAGUUCUUCUGUUCGUAACGUUGACCUGUAUGCUGAAUUUCUUUCAUAAGAUAUUACUUGUGCUGUGGUUUUGUGUCCAAAUGAUUUUGAAUCUUUAGGACCGUUACUAAUAUUGUCAUUACUAAAGAUUAUCAAAGGGUCGGCAGAUUUCAGUUGUUUAGUUGUUCUGUUAUGUAAAUCUGGAUGUUGAUUUGUAUUUUUAGUAUCCAAAUUUUGGUUGUCCUUUAAAUUAACGUCACUGCCAUCUAAUGGCAUACUCUCUCCAUUCAGCAUAAAUGUUACAUUUGUAUCUAUUUUCGCAGCAGGACCUUCUAACGGUCUAGGAGGUAGAGGCUCUGGAAAGUGCACAGAAAAUGUUUUUGAAAAAAUAUGUGUGUAAUAGUUCAGGGAAAAUUGUACACAAACAACCUAGUUCUAUUAGGCUAUUUGUAACAAAUAUAAAUGAUACGGUUACAGAUGUCGCAAUGUCGUCAGUGAUAUUUUCAUUCAAAUUAGUUAGGGGUCAUUCACAUUCAUUCACGCCCGUACGUCCCGGCCCCUGUAGGUAGCGACCUCCCCCCGGUGAACGUCAAGGGGCGACGUGAGGGGGUAGAGGCCGCGCGGCGCGCUACCAGCACUUUAGCGCGCUGCCGAGGUGUAAAUAGAGCGACCGGUUGGCGGUGUAUAACGUCCCGACCCGGCAGGCUGGUUCUGGUCCAGCGGGGUAUACCGGGACACCAGCGGCACCGUCUGGGCGGCCUGACGGGCUGCCGUACCGAGACGGCCGACGUUUCAGAGCCUUCGAUUCGCCUCGAAGGCUCCGUCGGCUGGGCGUCCAUGGGGUGAACCGCGCCAUCUGGUUGUAGUGUUGACCGCGGUAAUCCUCCUACAUCAUCCCUCUUCUGGCCUCGGGAGGGGAUCGGACGUCGGGUGUAAGAGUGCAAGGGAGUCAUUUAGUGGGUGGGCCCUAAAAUCCUUGGGCCCGCGGUCUGUUCACAACACCAUGCAGAUCGUUGAGUCUCACAUACCCCGCGCACCCCUUAUGCGCGGGGGACCUCGUAGGAGGUUCGGAAGGCGGCCCGAAAAAAAAAAAAAAAAAGGCGUCAUUCACAUAUUUACAUCACAUGUUAAAAAGUCCCCUCUUCAUCUCCGGAAUGUGACACUAUAUGACAAGGGGCCGGGGGUCAAAACCUUUGUGACGUCAUACAUUAUGGUAUGAAUAAUAAACUCUUCGAUCAAUAAUAGUACUAGAUUACGGAUCAGGAACAAAAAUAAGACGCUCCAGUGGCCACGUUUGCAGACACGAAAACAUCUUCAUUUCUUAGAAAAAAGUUUAAUAAUGUUAACGACUUCAGUUUAUUAUAAACCUUAAUACUUAAACAUAAAGUUUAAUUACCAUUGCAAAAUAUAUGUAUUUAGGUCCUUUCGUCAGAAAAAGAAUAUUAUGGAAUAAAUUUAAAAUGUCACUUGAACAUAAAAAGUCAUCAGUACAAAAAUAUUUAUUCUAAAAUGAUACUUAAAGCCUAAUUUAUAAGGUUAAAAAUAUUUGUUUAAAAUUUCGUGCUUAUUGUAUUGUGGAACUAGAUGUAGUUCUUGGUAUUAUAUUUCAAUGCUCAGAACACAGUAAGUAUUGAAAGACAUAGAGUUGCAGAAUAUACAUAUUUGUUUUAGGUUUGUUUUGUAUGGUCGCAACUAUUUUUGACCGAUUCAAAAAAGUAGUAGAUAAUAUUUUACAUUGCCGCUAUUACAACAAAUAGGUGAUAAAAAAUAAAAUUGAAUGAAGUAAAAAAAAUAUGAAAGGAAACACGAAACAUGUUUUCCACGUAUUCUUUAUACAGAAGUAAUUAAAACAAUAAUGUAGGUUUAAUUACCUUUAAACAGAUUCAGUUUGUUAUAAAGCUGUCUUUUAGAAGUCAUUUUUAUAUGAGCGGUUUCUUUUUUACAAAUAUAAUGUAAUCUUAUAUCAA